rnacentral:rRNA from 1 species
CGCGUGGGAAUAUACCCUUCACUACGGAAUAGCCUCGGGAAACUGAGAGUAAUACCGUAUACGCCCUUAGGGGGAAAGAUUUAUCGGUGAUGGAUUAGCCCGCGUCUGAUUAGAUAGUUGGUGGGGUAAUGGCCUACCAAGUCUACGAUCAGUAGCUGGUUUGAGAGGAUGAUCAGCCACACUGGAACUGAGACACGGUCCAGACUCCUACGGGAGGCAGCAGUGGGGAAUAUUGCACAAUGGGCGCAAGCCUGAUGCAGCCAUGCCGCGUGUGUGAAGAAGGCUCUAGGGUUGUAAAGC